GAUGAACGCUGGCGGCGUGCUUAACACAUGCAAGUCGAACGGCAACGCCCAAGCUUCCUUGGGUACUCGAGUGGCGAACGGGUGAGUAACACGUGGGUGUUCUGCCCUGCACUUCGAGAUAAGCCUGGGAAACUGGGUCUAAUACUGGAUAGGACCACUUCUAGGAUGUUGUGGUGGAAAGUUUUUUCGGUGUGGGAUGAGCUCGCGGCCUAUCAGCUUGUUGGUGGGGUAAUGGCCUACCAAGGCGUCGGCGGGUAGCCGGCCUGAGAGGGGGUACGGCAACAUUGGGACUGAGCUACGGCCCAGACUACUACGGGAGGCAGCAGAGGGGAAUAGUGCACAAUGGGGGCAAGCCUGAUGCAGCGACGCCGCGUGGGGGAUGACGGCCUUCGGGUUGUAAACUCCUUUCGCUAGGGACGAAGCGUUUUGUGACGGUACCUGGAGAAGAAGCACCGGCGAACUACGG
rnacentral:rRNA from 1 species